rnacentral:rRNA from 1 species
AAUGAACGCUGGCGGCAUGCCUAACACAUGCAAGUCGAACGAAGGCUUCGGCCUUAGUGGCGCACGGGUGCGUAACGCGUGGGAAUCUGCCCCUUGGUUCGGAAUAACAGUUAGAAAUGACUGCUAAUACCGGAUGAUGACGUAAGUCCAAAGAUUUAUCGCCGAGGGAUGAGCCCGCGUAGGAUUAGCUAGUUGGUGUGGUAAGAGCGCACCAAGGCGACGAUCCUUAGCUGGUCUGAGAGGAUGAUCAGCCACACUGGGACUGAGACACGGCCCAGACUCCUACGGGAGGCAGGAGUGGGGAAUAUUGGACAAUGGGCGAAAGCCUGAUCCAGCCAUGCCGCGUGAGUGAUGAAGGCCUUAGGGUUGUAAAGCUCUUUUACCCGGGAUGAUAAUGACAGUACCGGGAGAAUAAGCUCCGGCUAACUCCGUG